UCCAACUUUUGUCCAAAGACAACCCGUCGGCAAUCCUCACCGGCAAACUACCACCUAUUUCUUCCUUAAUUUGUUACUUUAUUUUUCUUAAAUAUUUUUUAUUUUCCUUUCCUUUUUCCUGUUGUAAUUUCUUUCCUUUUUCCUAUGGUAAUUCAUUUCCUUUCUUUGUAAUUUCUUGCCUUAAUGAUUCUUCAUCAUCAGAGUCCUAAAUUGAAUUGUGAAUAGGCCGAGAUUUUAGCUCUAUUUUUAGUUCAAAUUGAUAUUACACUGGAAGAUUUGAACGCUCCUCCUUCUAUUAGAUGAAUCUAGACAAGUGUUGAGGUACGUUGAAGACGAAAUUGAGAGCAAAGUAGAGAUUUUAUGUAUAUUUUAUACACUACAAGAAUGGUGCAUGAUCAUUUAUUGAUUGAAAAUAUUAGAAUGAUAUUAUGGAGCAAUGAUUGAAGAGACAAAUACAAAAGAAGACAAAAGUCAAUUGAAAAAAGAAAAAAAAAA